rnacentral:pre_miRNA from 1 species
CAGGAUUGAGGUCUCAGAAAUCAGUGUACUUGGGGUGUCCCCACCAUGGCCUGGGCUCUGCUCAUCCUCAUCCUCCUUACUCAGCACAGGUGA